CAUGCUUCACAUGACAUGGUGUGUCAAACCGGAAACUGGUUUCUUCGCCUGAAGUGGAAUCAAAAUAAAGGCGUUUACGAGGAAAAGAAAACAGGUGCAUUCUGGGUUUCAGAGAAAUUCUUUUCUUCUUUAAGAGCUCAUUUUCAAAAGUUGUGACCAGAAAUGCUAAUUUAUGAACAUAUAAAAUGCCGUUUAUCUCUAUAUCUAAGUCUCUUCUGAUCAGAGAACUCCGUUUCUAUCUCUGCACCAGGUCACAACGACCUGCUCCUCCGUCAGUCGUUCUCGCGGUGACACCCAACCCGUUACCUGUUCUGCAACUGUCAGCGGUUCAUCCUGGGACGGCGGUGCAACAAACCUGUUAUUAACCGCAGCGACGUCACCGAUCGCGGCAGAGUAUAUAAACAUUGACGCAACACGUGUUAAAGGACCUGAGUCUGCUGGAAAUCUGCUGCAGAAAGACCUUCACGACUGCUCAUCACUGAGAGGCAAAAUGAGUGACAAGGACCCAAAAA